rnacentral:lncRNA from 1 species
CAAUCUCCAAGAGAAUAGUCAUCAUCAAUUACUUCAUAAACCCUAAUCAGUUUUUAAACAAAAUCACGGGAAAAAACUAUCUAAUCAACCAAAAGAAAUUGAAAAAAAAACAAAAGGCCCAAGUACAAACCAAUUAGAUCAUGUUCUUGCUUGACUGAACUCUACACCAUUCUAAAGUUUUACGACUGUAUCGCUCCUGAAAGCAAAGAUGUUACUUUCUAAAAAGGGGAUUUUAAAACGUAAAGACUAUCAUAUCAUUAACAUCAAUAAAAUUAAAAAUAAUCUUUUCUGGGGCUAUAAAUUUCCACCAAUGGAAUUACAUAUUAAUUGAAAAAUAAAAUUGUCUCUGAUUUCGACUAAACAUCUGGAAAAUUUCCCAUAGGAGAGUUUUUGAAAAAGAAAUUGGUGUGUCCCAACUGGUGGCAUCUUUAAGACAAAGCAUCAGCAUAGCCUCCAAUGUGCCCACGACCUCUGCUCUGACAGGCAACAUCAUCAGAUACCUACAAUAGUACUUUAUUCUUUGAUUAUCGGAAGGAGAAAGAUGGAGUUUUGAGAAGCCGGUACGGUAUGGUUUUGUUGUGGUUGAGAGAAGAAAGCGUGUCCCAUUCAGGCGAUAAAAUAUGUUGUGUAUUAUAACCAGUUUGAUGAACAAGAGUGUGAAAAC